GACAGCUGCCCUGCUUCCCUGCAGGCCAUGAAACAGUAAAUGAGAUGAGAAGAGCUCCGGAGAUGGAUGCUCAUGACGGCUGCCCACCACAGUCAAUGCAUCCAACACCCUGAAAAUACAGGUUCCAUGCUGACCUCAGUGGCACUCGAUUCCCGACCACCGCUCUCCUCCGGGACACACCCUGUCCUCUGUCUUCUGCUCCAUGUGUCCUGGCUUUGAAGCCCUCCGAAGUACAAAGGCUUCGUCUUCCUGAUCUCCUCUGCUCGGGCCACAGCAGUGCUGACCCAGCAAAGCCAAGGCUUUCACCUGCAAGGAAGAGCACUGCAGCCCGGGCCCCUCCCAGCCCCCCAGCCUUCCCGCCCGGAACAGGCAGGAUGCCUGUGUCUCCUGAUUCUGAGAUAGCUCCUGCUGUCAGUCUGCUUGAAUGAGCUCUUUUGUCCCUGAGAAUUUUCCCAUGUCGAACAUUUAGUCUGUUGUGUUAUGGGUCAGUGAGUGAGGAAAUAAGUCUGAAUUCUUAAACAACCUUGUGAACGUAAGACAUCUGUCUGAAAGGCAGUGCAACCAUAUCUGUCCAACUGUCC
ensembl:lncRNA